UGGAAACAAAAGGUGUUAGUUUGCUGUA
rnacentral:piRNA from 1 species